AUUGAACGCUGGCGGCAUGCCUUACACAUGCAAGUCGAACGGUAACGGGCCUUCGGGUGCCGACGAGUGGCGAACGGGUGAGUAAUACAUCGGAACGUGCCCGAUCGUGGGGGAUAACGAGGCGAAAGCUUUGCUAAUACCGCAUACGAUCUACGGGUGAAAGCAGGGGACCGCAAGGCCUUGCGCGGACGGACCGGCCGAUGGCAGAUUAGGAAGUGGGUGGGAUAAAAGAUUACCAAGCCGACGAUCUGUGGCUGGUCUGAGAGGAUGAUCAGCGACCCUCGGACUGAGACACGGGCGAGACUCUGGCGGGGGGCAGCAGGGGGGAAGUGUGGAGAAGGGGCGCAAGCCUGAUCCAGCCAUGCCGCGUGCAGGAGGAAGGCCUUCGGGUUGUGAACUGCUGUUGGACGGAACGAAAAGCCUUCUUCUAAUACAGGAGGGUCAUGACGGUACGGUAAGAAUAAGCACCGGCUAACUACGUACCAGCAGCCGCCGUAA
rnacentral:rRNA from 1 species